GUGGCUCAGUGGCAGAGCAUCCGCUUGGCAUGCACAAGGUCCCGGGUUCGAUCCCCAGGCAACA
rnacentral:tRNA from 1 species